rnacentral:rRNA from 1 species
UACGUAGGGGGCAAGCGUUGUCCGGAUUUAUUGGGCGUAAAGCGCGCGUAGGCGGCAAGGUAUGUCGUGCGUGAAAUCUCCCGGCUUAACUGGGAGGGCCGUGCGAAACUGCCUGGCUUGAGGUCGGAAGGGGAAAGUGGAAUUCCGGGUGUAGCGGUGAAAUGCGUAGAUAUCUGGAGGAAUACCGGUGGCGAAGGCGGCAUCCUGGACCGACAUUGACGCUGAUGAGCGAAAGCUAGGGGAGCAAACGGGAUUAAGAAAC